rnacentral:tRNA from 1 species
UAGCUCAGUGGUAGAGCACUUGCCUAGCAUGUAGAUGCCCUGGGUUCAAUCCCCAG